rnacentral:rRNA from 1 species
CCUACGGGAGGCAGCAGUGGGGAAUAUUGCACAAUGGGGGAAACCCUGAUGCAGCGACGCCGCGUGAGUGAAGAAGUAAUUCGUUAUGUAAAGCUCUAUCAGCAGGGAAGAAAAGGAUGGUACCUGAGUAAGAAGCCCCGGCUAACUACGUGCCAGCAGCCGCGGUAAGACGUAGGGGGCAAGCGUUAUCCGGAUUUACUGGGUGUAAAGGGAGCGUAGACGGCAGUGCAAGUCUGUAGUGAAAGGCGGGGGCUCAACCCCCGGACUGCUCUGGAAACUGUACGGCUGGAGUGCAGGAGAGGUAAGUGGAAUUCCUAGUGUAGCGGUGAAAUGCGUAGAUAUUAGGAAGAACACCAGUGGCGAAGGCGGCUUACUGGACUGUAACUGACGUUGAGGCUCGAAAGCGUGGGGAGCAAACAGGAUUAGAUACCCUAGUAGUC